GAAUUGAAUUUAAGAGACAAAAAAAAACACCCAAGAACCCGUAUCAUUGUGAUCAGCGAUAUUUUAAAAAAAAAAUUUAUUCGAAUCACCAAUGCUCGUUCGGAAACAUUGUCGAUACAAAAGCUAGAGAAUCGCUGAGAAUGUUUUUGAAAAUACGCAAUUUUACACUGUGUAUCUGUUCGCCUACUUUUGUUUCAUACACUUGCUCAUUAGUUUUAUACCAUGCACGGGAAUGGUAUAGUAGCAAGCGGUAGUUAUACAAAAUAGGUGUAUUCCAAUGAUUUCCGAGAUUCAUCACAACAUAUUGUAGUUUCUGAAAGCGUGACGCCAUGAUUGACGCAAACUCACGAACACCCACGAUGGAAAUUCUCCACCCCUGGUCACAAUGAAAACAAAAGGAAAAUAACAACCAGCAGAUUGUCAGAAUGUUUCGGACUACUUACAUGUCACAUUUAUGUAUAUACGUUGCUUGAAACAACGAAAUUUUCCGUCGAAAAAUCCGGUGUACUCGUGUACACGCCAUUUUGAGAGUGUCACUUCCCGAUAGUGAUGUCAUACGUACGUCAACAUUGUUAAACAUAUUUAGUAUUUUCAUUGAGGUGAGGCUAUGAAUGAAAAUACACAUUAUCAAUCUGUCCUGCUGAUUACAUUUUCAGUUCUUAUGCUUCUUUCGUAUUUUCACAAACUUUUCUCACGUGAUUAAUUUCAGUAUUAUUAUUUUUUGAUUUGGGACUAGACAGGAGACCAGUCUAAAAUCAAGUGGCACCAAUUACGUCAUAAUCAAAGGGCAGUAACUCUGACCUGUUUAGCUCGGCA